rnacentral:rRNA from 1 species
AAUAGAUACCCAGGUAGUCCACGCCGUAAACGAUGUCAACUAGCCGGUUGGAAUCCUUGAGAUUUUAGUGGCGCAGCUAACGCAUUAAGUUGACCGCCUGGGGAGUACGGCCGCAAGGUUAAAACUCAAAUGAAUUGACGGGGGCCCGCACAAGCGGUGGAGCAUAUGGUUUAAUUCGAAGCAACGCGAAGAACCUUACCAGGCCUUGACAUGCAGAGAACUUUCCAGAGAUGGAUUGGUGCCUUCGGGAACUCUGACACAGGUGCUGCAUGGCUGUCGUCAGCUCGUGUCGUGAGAUGUUGGGUUAAGUCCCGUAACGAGCGCAACCCUUGUCCUUAGUUACCAGCACGUUAUGGUGGGCACUCUAAGGGGACUGCCGGUGACAAACCGGAGGAAGGUGGGGAUGACGGUCAAGUCAUCAUGGCCCUUACGGCCUGGGCUACACACGUGCUACAAUGGUCGGUACAGAGGGUUGCCAAGCCGCGAGGUGGAGCUAAUCUCACAAAACCGAUCGUAGUCCGGAUCGCAGUCUGCAACC